rnacentral:rRNA from 1 species
CACCGCGCCCACAAGUGGCAAUCACUUUUAUUUGGGUCGUAAAGACGUCCGUAGCCGGUUUGUAUAAGUCUCUUGUGAAAUUGUUGGGCUUAACCUAACAACGUGCAAGGGAAACUAUCUCACUUGAGACUGGGAGGAGGCAGAAGUAUUCUGAGGGUAGCGGUAAAAUGUUAUAAUCCUCGGAGGACUACCAGUGGCGGAGGCGUCUGCCUAGAACAGGUCUGACGGUGA